rnacentral:rRNA from 1 species
GCCGCGUGCGGGAUGACGGUCCUAUGGAUUGUAAACUGCUUUUGUACGGAAAAAAACACUCCUUCGUGAAGGACCUUGACGGUACCGUAAGAAUAAGGAUCGGCUAACUCCCUGCCAGCUACCGCGGUAAUAAGGAGGAUCCAAGCGUUAUCCGGAAUCAUUGGGUUUAAAGGGUCCGUAGGCGGUCUGGUAAGUCCGUGGUGAAAGCCCAUCGCUCAGCGGUGGAACGGCCAUUGAUACUGCUGGACUUGAAUUACUGGGAAUCAACUAGAAUAUGUGGUGUAGCGGUGAAAUGCUUAGAGAUUACAUGGAAUACCAAUUGCGAAGGCAGGUUGCUACCAGUGGAUUGACGCUGAUGGACGAAAGCGUGGGUAGCGAACAGGAGUAGAUACCCUGGUAGUCCACGCCGUACACGAUGGAUACUAGCUGUUGGGAGCAAUCUCACUGGCUAAACGAAAGUGAUAACUAUCCCACCUGGGGAGUACGUUCGCAAGAAUGAAACUCAAAGGAAUUGACGGGGGCCCGCACAAGCGGUGGAGCAUGUGGUUUAAUUCCAUGAUACGCAAGGAACCUUACCAAGGCUUAAAUGCAGACUGACCGAUUUGGAAACAGAUCU